GGCUGGUCCCCCGGGGCUCAGGAAAGCUCUCCAGUGUGGAUAGAGUCUUGUCUGUGUGUGUCCCAUAUUGUACUGAAGCUGAGGUACCCGCAAAGCACAUCAUCUUGUAUUUUGCGCCUUGGGUAUCAUUUGCUCCCUAAGCUCAAGUUUUGCAGAAUAUCCUGCUCUAGAAGGAACAUAGUUCUGGCUAUUCUAGCCUGUUUCUUUUUUUCUUAUGUUAAUGCAUUCUGCAGAAAUUCUACAGUAAUUCUGAGAACUACAAGUUGGAGAGGGGAGAGCUGGGUCGAAAAAGGCCACUUGAGGACCUGCCCUCCUACAGCAGGGACAUUUGUAUCUAAAGAGUGCUGCCUAUAGGGGAGCAGCAACUUGGAAGAAAAGGCCUAAUACUUAAGGGUCAAGGAAGGAGUUGCAAGUGAUCACCCAGCCUGGAGAAGCAUCUGCCCGAGUCAAGGAAACUUUACAAGAGAAAUCCCCAGUGUGCACCCCUAUGAAGAGCCUACAAUGGUAUGUCUACAAGAGUGAGUCAUCCUUACUUCUGCCAGACCCAGAUAGUUGCAAGCUGUCUUUGCUACCAUUUCAGAGUGCCUUUUCAGGAAUUAAUUCUGCUGUUAGAGAAGUACCUAUGUCUUCAGAGAAUGUAAAGGAGAAAGAAACCCAUACACAUACAGCUGCAUCUGAAACCUCAGAAACUAAGCUCAACCCAAUUGAUUAAAAGGAUGUUCUUUGGAUAAG
rnacentral:lncRNA from 10 species